rnacentral:rRNA from 1 species
GACAGAGGGUGCAAGCGUUGUUCGGAAUUACUGGGCGUAAAGGGCGCGUAGGCGGUCCGCUAAGUUCGGCGUGAAAUCCCCUGGCUCAACUGGGGAACGGCGCUGGAUACUGGUGGACUCGAGUACCGGAGAGGAGAGUGGAAUUCCUGGUGUAGCGGUGAAAUGCGUAGAUAUCAGGAGGAACACCGGUGGCGAAGGCGGCCCUCUGGACGGUGACUGACGCUGAGACGCGAAAGCGUGGGGAGCAAACAGG